AAAAGCCCAAAUGCUUUCAAGAAGACAAAAUCACCCCACCAUAGGAAAGAAGGAGACUGAGGUGGCUUUGGGAGUCAGUAUUUCUAUUAGAUAGAACUCCUAGCUGAAGAUGUGAAGAUAGCUGCUAAGAACACUUGCUGAGCCCUGCUUUCUUUCCCAAGUGGAGAACAAUGUUUCCUAUUAAAGAAUAUCUUCCAAGAACAUCCCCAAAGGUCUCAUGAAUGCCAAUUCCUGGGGGACAUGAAGAUGCACACGAGUGAGAAAUCCAGUUUCUUCAGCCGCUUCAGCUCGUUGGCGUUUAAAGCAACAUCCCUGGCAGCAGCUCAUCUGGAACAUCCUGGCCCGCUCCCCUUUGCGUGAUAGUGAGCACCCUUUACUGCAGAGAGCGAUGAAGAGAGAGUCGGAUGGACAGAUGGACAGGGAGAGGGGAGUCCCGCAGACGGUACCGAUGAAUAUGGAUUUGCAGCAUCUGCGGGGGGAGGCGGGAGCCAUGGCAAUCAAGUCCAAUGCUGCAGCGGCUCGGAUGGACCGACAGGAACUCCCCCUAGGAAUCCGAGUGGGCUCUUUCUUGUGUGAUGUUUUGAAGCAUGUCAGCAUUCCUGGGCACUGUCAGCCUCCUCCAAAUGACCCGAGAGGGGUUGUGAAUAGCAAGUUCUCACCGCCUUGGGCUGUGCGGAGGGAAAUGCUGGGAAUACUGUUUUAAAGGCUUCCUCUCG